rnacentral:lncRNA from 1 species
UUUAAAAAGAAUAACUAAUUAAAGAAUUCAAAUAUUGAAAAAUAUUCAACUCGUGACCAAACAACACUGAUAAUUAACUCAUGAGCUAAAAAUAAAAAAAGAAGAAAAAUACAAAAAGACGAUCAACAGUUUGAAAAACUCAAUAUUGACAACAAAAGACCGAGCAACAUGAACCCCUUAUGGGUGCAGGUGCUACGAAAGG